UGAAAUGUAGUGUGGGGAGGUAUGGGUAGUGAAAUGUAGUGUGGGGAGGUAAGGGUAGUGUAAUGUAGUGUGGGGAGGUAUAGGUAGUGAAAUGUAGUGUGGGGAGGUAUGGGUAGUGAAAUGUAGUGUGGGGAGGUAUGGGUAGUGAAAUGUAGUGUGGGGAGGCAAGGGUAGUGUAGGGAGGUAAGGGUAGUGUAGUGUAAUGUGGGGAGGUAAAAUAAUAAAAUGUACCUAGCGUACAUGUAAAUCUAUUAUACAUAAACUUGUUGAUUGUGCGAUUUUACGCUCACAAGAUCAUGCUAGUGAACUCUCUAGUAAGAAUGGGUAGUGGUAUGUAGAAAGGGUAGUGUAAUGUAGUGUGGGAGGUAAGGGUAGUAUAAUGUAGUGUGGGAUGUAAGGUUAGUGUAGGGAGGUAUGGGUAGUAUAAUCUAGUGUGGGGAUGUAAGGGUAGUAUAAUCUAGUGUGGGGAUGUAAGGGUAGUGUAAUGUAGUGUGGGGAGGUAAGGAUAGUGUAAUAUAGUGUGGGGAGGUAAGGGUAGUGUAAUGUAGUGUGGGGAGGUAUGGGUCGUGUAAUGUAGUGUGGGGAGGUUAAGGAUAGUGUAAUGUAGUGUGGGGAGGUAUGGGUAGUGUAAUGUAGUGUGAGGAGGUAAGUGUAGUGUAAUGUAGUGUGUGGAGGUAAGGAUAGUGUAAUGUAGUGUGGGGAGGUAAGGGUAGUGUAAUGUAGUGUGGGGAGGUAUGGGUAGUGUAAUGUAGUGUGUGGAGGUAAGGAUAGUGUAAUGUAGUGUGGGGAGGUAUGGGUAGUGUAAUGUAGUGUGUGGAGGUAAGGAUAGUGUAAUGUAGUGUGGGGAGGUAUGGGUAGUGUAAUGUAGUGUGUGGAGGUAAGGAUAGUGUAAUGCAGUGUGUGGAGGUAAGGAUAGUGUAAUGCAGUGUGGGGAGGUUAAGGAUAGUGUAAUGUAGUGUGAGGAGGUAAGUGUAGUGUAAUGCAGUGUGUGGAGGUAAGGAUAGUGUAAUGUAGUGUGUGGAGGUAAGUGUAGUGUAAUGCAGUGUGUGGAGGUAAGGAUAGUGUAAUGUAGUGUGGGGAGGUAUGGGUAGUGUAAUGUAGUGUGUGGAGGUAAGGAUAGUGUAAUGUAGUGUGGUGUAAUGUAGUGUGGGGAGGUAUGGGUAGUGUAAUGCAGUGUGGGGAGGUAAGGGUAGUGUAA